rnacentral:rRNA from 1 species
AGCGAACGCUGGCGGCAGGCCUAACACAUGCAAGUCGAACGAACUCUUCGGAGUCAGUGGCGGACGGGUGCGUACCCCGUGGGAACGUGCCUUUUGGUUCGGAAUACCUCAGGGAAACUUGUGCUAAUACCGAACGUGCCCUUCGGGGGAAAGAUUUAUCGCCAUUAGAGCGGCCCGCGUCUGAUUAGCUAGUUGGUGAGGUAACGGCUCACUCAGGCGCCGAUCAGUAGCUGGUCUGAGAGAAAGACCCGCCACACUGGGACUGAGACACGGCCCAGACUCCUACGGGAGGCAGCAGUGGGGAAUCUUGCGCAAUGGGCGAAAGCCUGACGCAGCCAGGCCGCGUAAAUGAUGAAGGUCUUAGGAUUGUAAAAUUCUUUCAACGGGGAAGAUAAUGACGGUACCCGGAGAAGAAGCCCCGGCUAACUACGUG